rfam:Trichuris suis scaffold47.3, whole genome shotgun sequence.
AAAACGGCCCUUUCCAGGGCCACAAAUUUAAAUUGACCGUAGUGCU